rnacentral:rRNA from 1 species
GACGAACGCUGGCGGCGUGCCUAAUACAUGCAAGUAGAACGCUGAAGGAGGAGCUUGCUUCUCUGGAUGAGUUGCGAACGGGUGAGUAACGCGUAGGUAACCUGCCUGGUAGCGGGGGAUAACUAUUGGAAACGAUAGCUAAUACCGCAUAAGAGUAGAUGUCGCAUUACAUUUGCUUAAAAGGUGCAAUUGCAUCACUACCAGAUGGACCUGCUUUGUAUUAGCUAGUUGGUGCGGUAACGGCUCACCAAGGCAACGAUACAUAGCCGACCUGAGAGGGUGAUCGGCCACACUGGGACUGAGACACGGCCCAGACUCCUACGGGAGGCAGCAGUAGGGAAGCUUCGGCAAUGGACGGAAGUCUGACCGAGCAACGCCGCGUGAGUGAAGAAGGUUUUCGGAUCGUAAAGCUCUGUUGUAAGAGAAGAACGAGUGUGAGAGUGGAAAGUUCACACUGUGACGGUAUCUUACCAGAAAGGGACGGCUAACUACGUG